UACAGAGGUCUCAACCGUUGUUCGGAUUCAUUGGGCGUAAAGGGUGCGUAGGCGGUCGCGUAAGUCAGGUGUGAAAUCCCGGGGCUCAACCCCGGAACUGCACUUGAUACUGCGUGGCUAGGGUACUGGAGAGGAGACUGGAAUUUACGGUGUAGCAGUGAAAUGCGUAGAUAUCGUAAGGAAGACCAGUGGCGAAGGCGGAUCUCUGGACAGUUACUGACACUGAGGCACGAAGGCCAGGGGAGCAAACGGG
rnacentral:rRNA from 1 species